rnacentral:rRNA from 1 species
GAGUUUGAUUCUGGCUCAGGACGAACGCUGGCGGCGUGCUUAACACAUGCAAGUCGAACGAAGAGCGAUGGAAGCUUGCUUCUAUCAAUCUUAGUGGCGAACGGGUGAGUAACGCGUAAUCAACCUGCCCUAGAGUGGGGGACAACAGUUGGAAACGACUGCUAAUACCGCAUAAGCCCACGGUACCGCAUGAUACUGAGGGAAAAGGAUUUAUUCGCUUUAGGAUGGACUCGCGUCCAAUUAGCUAGUUGGUGAGGUAACGGCCCACCAAGGCGACGAUUGGUAGCCGGACUGAGAGGUUGAACGGCCACAUUGGGACUGAGACACGGCCCAGACUCCUACGGGAGGCAGCAGUGGGGGAUAUUGCACAAUGGGGGAAACCCUGAUGCAGCGACGCCGCGUGGAGGAAGAAGGUUUUCGGAUUGUAAACUCCUGUCGUUAGGGACGAUAAUGACGGUACCUAACAAGAAAGCACCGGCUAACUACGUGCCAGCCGCCGCGGUAAUAC